rnacentral:rRNA from 1 species
AGCGUACACGGUGGAUGCCCUGGCAGUCAGAGGCGAUGAAGGACGUGCUAAUCUGCGAAAAGCGUCGGUAAGGUGAUAUGAACCGUUAUAGCCGGCGAUGUCCGAAUGGGGAAACCCAGUGCAAUUCGUUGCACUAUCGUUAACUGAAUACAUAGGUUAACGAGGCGAACCGGGGGAACUGAAACAUCUAAGUACCCCGAGGAAAAGAAAUCAACCGAGAUUCCCCCAGUAGCGGCGAGCGAACGGGGAGCAGCCCGGAGUCUGAAUCAGCUUGUGUGUUAGUGGAAGCGUCUGGAAAGUCGCAGGGUACAGGGUGAUACUCCCGUACACUAAAACACACAGGUUGUGAACUCGAAGAGUAGGGCGGGACACGUGGUAUCCUGUCUGAAUAUGGGGGGACCAUCCUCCAAGGCUAAAUACUCCUGACUGACCGAUAGUGAACCAGUACCGUGAGGGAAAGGCGAAAAGAACCCCGGCGAGGGGAGUGAAAAAGAACCUGAAACCGUGUACGUACAAGCAGUAGGAGCCCACUAGUUGGGUGACUGCGUACCUUUUGUAUAAUGGGUCAGCGACUUAUAUUCUGUAGCAAGGUUAACCGAAUAGGGGAGCCGCAGGGAAACCGAGUCUUAACUGGGCGUUAAGUUGCAGGGUAUAGACCCGAAACCCGGUGAUCUAGCCAUGGGCAGGUUGAAGGUUGGGUAACACUAACUGGAGGACCGAACCGACUAAUGUUGAAAAAUUAGCGGAUGACUUGUGGCUGGGGGUGAAAGGCCAAUCAAACCGGGAGAUAGCUGGUUCUCCCCGAAAGCUAUUUAGGUAGCGCCUCGUGAACUCAUCUUCGGGGGUAGAGCACUGUUUCGGCUAGGGGGUCAUCCCGACUUACCAACCCGAUGCAAACUACGAAUACCGAAGAAUGUUAUCACGGGAGACACACGGCGGGUGCUAACGUCCGUCGUGAAGAGGGAAACAACCCAGACCGCCAGCUAAGGUCCCAAAGUCAUGGUUAAGUGGGAAACGAUGUGGGAAGGCCCAGACAGCCAGGAUGUUGGCUUAGAAGCAGCCAUCAUUUAAAGAAAGCGUAAUAGCUCACUGGUCGAGUCGGCCUGCGCGGAAGAUGUAACGGGGCUAAACCAUGCACCGAAGCUGCGGCAGCGACGCUUAUGCGUUGUUGGGUAGGGGAGCGUUCUGUAAGCCGUUGAAGGUGGCCUGUGAGGGUUGCUGGAGGUAUCAGAAGUGCGAAUGCUGACAUAAGUAACGAUAAUGCGGGUGAAAAACCCGCACGCCGGAAGACCAAGGGUUCCUGUCCAACGUUAAUCGGGGCAGGGUGAGUCGACCCCUAAGGCGAGGCCGAAAGGCGUAGUCGAUGGGAAACAGGUUAAUAUUCCUGUACUUGGUGUUACUGCGAAGGGGGGACGGAGAAGGCUAUGUUGGCCGGGCGACGGUUGUCCCGGUUUAAGCAUGUAGGCGGAUGUUCCAGGUAAAUCCGGAACGUUAUUAACGCUGAGGUGUGAUGACGAGGCACUACGGUGCUGAAGUGACAAAUGCCCUGCUUCCAGGAAAAGCCUCUAAGCAUCAGGUAACAUCAAAUCGUACCCCAAACCGACACAGGUGGUCAGGUAGAGAAUACCAAGGCGCUUGAGAGAACUCGGGUGAAGGAACUAGGCAAAAUGGUGCCGUAACUUCGGGAGAAGGCACGCUGAUGGUAAGUGAAGUGACUUGCUCAUGGAGCUGAAAUCAGUCGAAGAUACCAGCUGGCUGCAACUGUUUAUUAAAAACACAGCACUGUGCAAACACGAAAGUGGACGUAUACGGUGUGACGCCUGCCCGGUGCCGGAAGGUUAAUUGAUGGGGUUAUCCUCGCGGAGAAGCUCUUGAUCGAAGCCCCGGUAAACGGCGGCCGUAACUAUAACGGUCCUAAGGUAGCGAAAUUCCUUGUCGGGUAAGUUCCGACCUGCACGAAUGGCGUAAUGAUGGCCAGGCUGUCUCCACCCGAGACUCAGUGAAAUUGAACUCGCUGUGAAGAUGCAGUGUACCCGCGGCAAGACGGAAAGACCCCGUGAACCUUUACUAUAGCUUGACACUGAACACUGGUCCUUGAUGUGUAGGAUAGGUGGGAGGCUUUGAAGUGUGGACGCCAGUCUGCAUGGAGCCGUCCUUGAAAUACCACCCUUUAAUGGCUGGUGUUCUAACGUUGGCCCCUAAUCGGGGUUGCGGACAGUGUCUGGUGGGUAGUUUGACUGGGGCGGUCUCCUCCUAAAGAGUAACGGAGGAGCACGAAGGUCAGCUAAUCCUGGUCGGACAUCAGGAGGUUAGUGCAAUGGCAUAAGCUGGCUUGACUGCGAGCGUGACGGCGCGAGCAGGUGCGAAAGCAGGUCAUAGUGAUCCGGUGGUUCUGAAUGGAAGGGCCAUCGCUCAACGGAUAAAAGGUACUCCGGGGAUAACAGGCUGAUACCGCCCAAGAGUUCAUAUCGACGGCGGUGUUUGGCACCUCGAUGUCGGCUCAUCACAUCCUGGGGCUGAAGUAGGUCCCAAGGGUAUGGCUGUUCGCCAUUUAAAGUGGUACGCGAGCUGGGUUUAGAACGUCGUGAGACAGUUCGGUCCCUAUCUGCCGUGGGCGCUGGAGAAUUGAGGGGGGCUGCUCCUAGUACGAGAGGACCGGAGUGGACGCAUCACUGGUGUUCGGGUUGUCAUGCCAAUGGCAUUGCCCGGUAGCUAAAUGCGGAAGAGAUAAGUGCUGAAAGCAUCUAAGCACGAAACUUGCCCCGAGAUGAGUUCUCCCUGACUCCUUGA